AAGGCCUUGUGAUAGGGCAUCCAUCUUUUUUCAUCGAGGUCGCCAUCGUCCAUCUGCGUCGAGGCCACCCUGCCAUUGUAAAAUUCUGCUCUCAAAGGUGUCUGUUAUUGUGUAGUUUCAGAAAUCCUUCAGGAAAAAAUGCAAAAGAAAAAUGGAGCAGGAGUCGCAGGCCUCAAGCCCUCUCUCCACUUCGUGGCUUCUUGUUCUCAAAGCACAAGCUGCUACUGCUACUAUUAGUAAACUGCUUCUGCUCACUAUAAUGAGCUGAGGGGCGUUGCCCAACUGCGUGGAUGCUCGCCUGCUCACCGAGCGUCGCGAUAGUCCACCCCGAAGCCAUCAGCAGGAGCAGCUUGCAACAGUCCCGCCUCUCCUUCGUCUAGUGCUCCAAGAGGCCAGGGUAGAAAAAUCGGUCAUCUUCUGAUGAGCCCUGCCCCAACAGGAACCUCUCCCUACCUCUCUCAGCUACUGAUGGGCACCAUAGUGUGAAGUUGAUGUAGAGAACAAGUUCUGAUUAUGUGCUCUGUACAUGCUUGUUGAUAUGUCAAUGAGAACCAACUUUUUUUCUUCAGGUUGUUGUGAUGAUGUUUGAUAGUUAAUAUUUUUGCAAGUA